AUUGUUUUGCCUUCUAUAUGGUGCCAUUGACUUACCUUAAGUCAUCGUAGAUCCCUGAUCAACUUUUUCAAGAAUGAUCGUCCAGUUGUUUCUACAUUUCUUUCUGCGUUUAAAGUGGUCUGCCGUCUUGGAGAAUCAGUUUAAUUUAUGAAGAUGUGUGGGGCACAAAAACAACAAUGAGGUCGGGUUGACGCCUGUCUACCGUGGUGUUUGGCUGGGCUUCCCUUCUCCAAUGUAGCCAGCGCAAACAGGGUGCUACCAAGCUCAAAGAUUAGAUUUGUAAACAAAAGUGUAGAAAUUAUCUUGAGAUGGUAAAGAUGGUGUUAGGUUGACUGUUUUAUUUGGAACAAUUUUAGGCUUUGUGUUUGAACCAGGGAAUAUAAGUUUUUAGUUGAAGAUGCAUUUUUUGGCCAAAAAACUAGAUUGUAUGGACACCUAACACGGGUUUACAUGUAUUUUUGCCUCUUGAAAAAGAAAGUUAAGUGACACUUUCCAAAUGGCAUAGCUCAGCAAAUAAAAAACCUUCAUCCAAACAUUCAUUGAAAUCUUAAAUUCUUGAAAAACUAGAAAAAUUAAUUCAUGUCUUACUGGUUUCUAAACUGCUUUCCAUUUAUUUUCUGAACUUUCAAAAUUGUAUGCAUAAUUUUUGUCAAAGUGUAUGAAUUUCUUCAAAAUAAUUAUAAGCAGUUACUGUAUUGCCCAUCAUACUCCUGGAAAGUUUUAGCAAGAUAGAAUACGAUGCUAUAAUAGAAAAAGAUGCUAUGUUUUCUCCAAAUUAAAAAAAAAACAACUCAGAGGGCCUUGCAUUUCAAUAUAAGUAGAAUCUUUCUUCUGACUUGGUAACAUGCACAUCAUAUUGAAAUGAAUAUUUUGAAGAAGUUUAAAUACAGAAAGGUUCGCAAAUAUAUUUUUUAUCUACAUAGUACUGAAACACAGGCAAAGUCUGAAU